AUACGGAGGGUGCAAGCGUUAUCCGGAUUCAUUGGGUUUAAAGGGUGCGCAGGCGGAAUGAUAAGUCAGUGGUGAAAUCCUACAGCUUAACUGUAGAACUGCCAUUGAUACUGUCAUUCUUGAGUACACUUGAAGUGGGCGGAAUGUAUCAUGUAGCGGUGAAAUGCAUAGAUAUGAUACAGAACUCCGAUAGCGAAGGCAGCUCACUAAAUUGUAACUGACGCUCAGGCACGAAAGCGUGGGGAGCAAACAGGAUUAGAUACCCCGGUAGUCC
rnacentral:rRNA from 1 species